AACUGUUGGCGCAAUUAUUAGAAAAUGGAAGAAGUUCAAGAUGACGGUCAAUCUCCCUCAGUCUGGGGCUCCAUGCAAGAUCUCACCUCCCCAGAACUACACGGCAGGACCUGGUCAAUGACUUGAGGAGAGCUUGGACCACAGUCUCAAACAAAACCAUUAGUAACACACUACGCCGUCAUGGAUUAAAAGGUCCUCCUGCUCAAGCCAGCGCAUGUCCAGGCUCGUCUGGAGUUUGCCAAUGACCAUCUAGAUGAUCCAGAGGAGGAAUGGGAGAAGGUCAUGUGGUCUGAUGAGACA